CCUACGGGCGGCAGCAGUGGGGAAUAUUGCACAAUGGGGGGAACCCUGAUGCAGCAACGCCGCGUGGGUGAAGAAGUACUUCGGUAUGUAAAGCCCUGUCAGCAGGGAAGAAAAUGACGGUAUCUCACCCAGAAGCCCCGGCUAUCUACGUGCGAGCAGCCGCGGGAAUACGUAGGGGGCAAGAGUUGUCCGGAUUUACUGGGUGUAAAGGGAGCGUAGAGGGGAAGACAAGUCUGGAGUGAAAGCCCGUGGCUCAACCACGGGACUGCUUUUGAAACUGUGUUGCUGGAGUGCAGGAGGGGCAAGCGGAAUUCCUAGUGUAGCGGUGAAAUGCGUAGAUAUUAGGAGGAACACCGGUGGCGAAGGCGGCUUACUGGACUGUAACUGACGUUGAGGCUCGAAGGCGUGGGGAGCAAACAGGAUUAGAUACCCUUGUAGUC
rnacentral:rRNA from 1 species